ensembl:scaRNA
GACCUCUUUCCCCUUGGACUGCUAGGGAUCACACUGCUCCUUGGUCAGGGCUAGAGAACAAGGUUAGCCCUGGAGGAACAUCAUCAGAGCUGCUGCGAGGGGACAACCUUGUUUCCUGCCUUGGACAAGU